GACGAACCGUCCAAACGUUAUUCGGAAUCACUGGGCUUACAGAGUUCGUAGGCGGUCUGGAAAGUUGGGUGUGAAAUCCCUCGGCUCAACCGAGGAACUGCGCUUGAAACUACCAGACUCGAGGGAGAUAGAGGAAAGCGGAACUGAUGGUGGAGCGGUGAAAUGCGUUGAUAUCAUCAGGAACACCAGUGGCGAAGGCGGCUCACUGGCCCGAUACUGACGCUGAGGCACGAAAGCGUGGGGAGCAAACAGG
rnacentral:rRNA from 1 species